AAAAAUAUUAAUUUGUAGUAAUUUUUUUUAAAAUAUUUUUGAAACGUAAAAACAAAUAUGAUUUAAUAAGAAAAUUCAACCAAACCUGAAAUGAAAAAAAAUUUAUCAUCACCCAACUUUUGUAUAAUAUAAAAAAAUCACAUCAAUUUAUUUUCUCUUUACAAUAUGAAAAAAAAUUCAAUAAGAGAAAAGAAAAGAAAAUUAAAUUUAAAAAGAAAAAAAA
rnacentral:lncRNA from 1 species